UCGGUUCCGUCAGGCCCAAGAUCCGUGGC
rnacentral:sRNA from 1 species